CACUGACAAGGAACAGAAAACAAAAUGUUAACGAAUUUGUUUUGUCACGAUAAGAUCGAGUUCCUGUCAGAUUCCAAAAGGCCAAGCUUUACAAUACUAGCAAGAAAAACAGAAGGGGAAGUUCCAUAAUCACAUCAAAUUCAAUCCAAAUUAACUUUGAAUAAGAAAGCUUGGAGACUGGUUGGUUGUGAAGAUGAGAUAUGGUGAACUGACCAGUUGACAGAGGCAGAGAGACGUCGGGGGGUUGAACUACAUUGAUGGAAAGGAUGGGCUUGAACAUUUCGUAGUUGUCAGCCACGUGGUGGCAGCGUUAAAACCGCGUUUUCAAAUUCACUACGCUACUUCAUGGAUACUGCAUCCUUGGCCCGUGGUUAGUUGCUUCUCCUUGUCAGCUUUCAUGUUUUAGAUCUGCUUUGCCUUCCAAUUCCAGCCAACUAAGUCUGAUUAACUCGGAAGUUUAGUUAAAUGGGAAAAAGUGUUUCUGUCUGAGAUAUCCUUUUCUGACAGAUGAAACGCGUGCAUCACACACUUCCUAUAGGUCGUAAACACCCAUGGGCCAUGGGUGGAAGGUCAUCAGAGGUCGGCAUUCAGCGUUCUCAUGACCGCAUGAAGGGAAAAGAAUUGUUCAAUAAAGUAGAAACUGAGGGAAAAGUGAGUUUUCUCAAAAAGGGUACGGAAAUUUUUUAAGUUUUAAUCAUGUUAAAGGAAUCAUAUGAACAGCGAUGGCGGCGCCCGCUGAUAAGAGAAGAGAGAGAGACACACACACGGGGCAGAGAAGAUCCAAUUUGUUUUUGUUUUCCUGUUUACUCUUUUCACAGAGAGACUUUUGUUUAUUGAUUUUGAGCUUCUAUUUGUAUUAAUGGUGUUCAUCAGACUUCACCUAGUUUCACCUUCUUCCUAUAUCUGUAAAUAUUGGAGAUUUUAAAGAUUCACCAUUGGAAAUAACAUCAGCAUGAGGUUUUAACUUAA